AGUGGAUGGGGAGCAACCUAGUUGUGCGUGUGUAAAGGUAGUGCUAAGAAAAGCGGUGAUCAUGAUGAAAAUCAAUUCCCGGUACCCGAAACCGACAUAGGUGGGCAAGUAGAGAAUACUAAGGGGCGCGAGGUAACUCUCUCCAAGGAACUUGGCAAAAUGACCCCGUAACUUAGGGAGAAGGGGUGCCACCGAGAGGUGGUCGCAGUGAAGAGGCCAGGCGACUGUUUAGCAAAAACAUAGGUCUCUGCAAACUCGAAAGAGGAGGUAUAGGGGCUGACGCCUGCCCAGUGCCGGAAGGUUAAAGAAGUUGGUCAGUCUUAGGAUGAAGCUAGCGACUGAAGCCCCGGUGAACGGCGGCCGUAACUAUAACGGUCCUAAGGUAGCGAAAUUUCUUGUCGGGUAAGUUCUGACCCGCACGAAAGGCGUAACGAUCUGGGCGCUGUCUCGGAGAGAGGCUCGGCGAAAUAGGAUUGUCUGUGAAGAUACGGACUACCUGCAUUUGGACAGAAAGACCCUAUGAAGCUUUACUAUAGCUUGGAAUUGUGUUCGGGCUUCCUGUGCGUAGGAUAGGUGGGAGGCGUAGAAGGUAUUCUUGUGGGGAUACUGGAGCCAACGGUGAGAUACCACUCUCAGGAGGCUAGAAUUCUAAUUUAAUUAAGGACAGUUUCAGGUGGGUAGUUUGACUGGGGCGGUCGCCUCCAAAAAGGUAACGGAGGCGUAUAAAGGUUCCCUCAGACUGGUUGGAAAUCAGUCGAAGAGUGUAAAGGUAGAAGGGAGCUUGACUGCGAGAAGUACAGUUCGAGCAGGGUGGAAACACGGUCUUAGUGAUCCGACGGUGCUGUGUGGAAGGGCCGUCGUUCAACGGAUAAAAGUUACUCUAAGGAUAACAGGCUGAUCUCCCCCAAGAGUUCAUAUCGACGGGGAGGUUUGGCACCUCGAUGUCGGCUCAUCGCAACCUGGGGCGGAAGUACGUCCCAAGGGUUGGGCUGUUCGCCCAUUAAAGCGGUACGUGAGCUGGGUUCAGAACGUCGUGAGACAGUUCGGUCCAUAUCCGUUGUAGGCGUGAGAAUAUUGAGAGGAGCCUUCCUUAGUACGAGAGGACCGGGAAGGACGCACCGCUGGUGUACCUGUUAUGAUGCUAAUUGUAAACGCAGGGUAGCCAAGUGCGGAGAGGAUAACCGCUGAAAGCAUUUAAGUGGGAAGCCCACCUCAAGAUGAGUAUUCUGGUGUAAGGUCACGGGAAGACGACCUGUAAAUAGGCACGAGGUGGAAGUGCAGAGAUGUAUGAAGCCGAAGUGUACUAAUAGACCGUCGGUUUG
rnacentral:rRNA from 1 species